rnacentral:rRNA from 1 species
UAACGCUGGCGGUACGUCUAAUACAUGCAAGUCGAACGGAAAUUUUAAAUUACUUCGGUAAGAUAAAAUUUUAGUGGCGAACGGGUGAGUAACACGUAGGUAAUCUGCCUUUAAGUUGGGGAUAACUUUCGGAAACGAAUGCUAAUACCGAAUAAUCUGUGAAAAAGGCAUCUUUUUCAUUGUAAAGGUCCGUUUGGAUCGCUUAAAGAGGAGCCUGCGGUGCAUUAGUUAGUUGGUGGGGUAAUGGCCCACCAAGACAAUGAUGCAUAGCUGGACUGAGAGGUUGAACAGCCACAUUGGGACUGAGAACGGCCCAAACUCCUACGGGAGGCAGCAGUAGAGAAUCUUCGGCAAUGGGGGAAACCCUGACCGAGCGAUACCGCGUGAAUGAUGAAGUAUUUCGGUAUGUAAAAUUCUUUUAUUAGGGAAGAACGAUAUUUGUAGGAAAUGACAAAUAAGUGACGUUACCUAAUGAAUAAGUCCCGGCUAACUAUGUGCCAGCAGCCGCGGUAAUACAUAGGGGACAAGCGUUAUCCGGAUUAAUUGGGCGUAAAGGGUGCGUAGGCGGUUUUUUAAGUUUGGGGUUUAAUUUCAUGGCUCAACCAUGUCCCGCUCCAAAAACUGGAAGACUAGAGCAAGAUAGAGGUAAGUGGAAUUCCAUGUGUAGCGGUAAAAUGCGUAAAUAUAUGGAGGAACACCAGUGGCGAAGGCGGCUUACUGGGUCUUUGCUGACGCUGAGGCACGAAAGCGUGGGGAGCAAACAGGAUUAGAUACCCUGGUAGUCCAUGCCGUAAACGAUGAGUACUAACUGUCUGGAAAACUAGGCGGUAAAGUUAACGCAUUAAGUACUCCGCCUGAGUAGUACGUACGCAAGUAUAAAACUCAAAGGAAUUGGCGGGACCUCGCACAAGCGGUGGAUCAUGUUGUUUAAUUCGACGAUACGCGAAGAACCUUACCAGGUCUUGACAUACUCGGCAAUACUAUAGAGAUAUAGUGGAGGUUAUCCGAUGUACAGGUGGUGCAUGGUUGUCGUCAGCUCGUGUCGUGAGAUGUUGGGUUAAGUCCCGCAACGAGCGCAACUCUUAUUGCUAUUUGCCAGCAUUCAGUUGGGAACUAUAGUGAGACUGCCAGUGACAAACUGGAGGAAGGUAGGAAUGACGUCAAAUCAUCAUGCCCCUUAUGACCUGGGCUACAAACGUGAUACAAUGGUUGAUACAAAGGGAAGCCAAAGCGUGAGCUGGAGCAAAUCCCAGAAAAACAAUCCCAGUUCGGAUUGAAGUCUGCAACUCGACUUCAUGAAGCCGGAAUCGCUAGUAAUCGCAAAUCAGAACGUUGCGGUGAAUACGUUCUCGAGGUUUGCACACACCGCCCGUCAAACCACGAAAGUUUAUAAUACCCAAAACCGGUGGCCUAACCGUAAGGAGGGAGCCGUCUAAGGUAGGGUAAAUGAUUGGGGUUAAGUCGUAACAAGGUAUCCCUACGAGAACGUGGGGAUGGAUCACCUCCUUUCUAAGGAGAUUAACUAUAUGCAAACAAAAAACUUUUAAAAAGUUAUCAAAUAUAUAUUCAGUUAUCAAAGA